rnacentral:rRNA from 1 species
UACGGAAGGGGCAAGCGUUGUUCGGAAUCAUUGGGCGUAAAGAGCUCGUAGGCGGUUCCGUAGGUCGGAUGUGAAAACUCGGGGCUCAACCCCGAGACGCCAUCCGAUACUGCGGUGACUUGAGUCUGGUAGGGGAACACGGAAUUCCUGGUGUAGCGGUGAAAUGCGCAGAUAUCAGGAGGAACACCGGUGGCGAAGGCGGAUCUCUGGGCCUGUCCUGACGCUCAGGCGCGAAGGUCAGGGGAGCAAACGGG